rnacentral:rRNA from 1 species
UGCCAGCACCCCGAGUGGUCGGGACGUUUAUUGGGCCUAAAGCAUCCGUAGCCGGUUCUACAAGUCUUCCGCUAAAUCCACCUGCUUAACAGAUGGGCUGCGGAAGAUACUAUAGAGCUAGGAGGCGGGAGAGGCAAGCGGUACUCGAUGGGUAGGGGUAAAAUCCGUUGAUCCAUUGAAGACCACCAGUGGCGAAGGCGGCUUGCCAGAACGCGCUCGACGGUGAGGGAUGAAAGCUGGGGGAGCAAACCGGG